rnacentral:rRNA from 1 species
GACAUAGGUCGCAAACGUUAUCCGGAAUUAUUGGGCGUAAAGGAUGCGUAGAUGGUUCAGUAAGUUACUGGUGGGAAAUCGAGGCCCAACCUCGUGGAAGUUAGUAAUACUGUUGAACUUGAGUGCAGGAGAGGUUAACGGAACUUCAUGUGGAGCGGUAAAAUGCGUAGAUAUAUGAAAGAACAUCAAUAUGGCGAAGGCAGUUAACUAUUCUGCUACUGACAUUGAGGCAUGAAAGCGUGGGGAGCAAAACG